UACGUAGGGGGCAAGCGUUGUCCGGAAUUAUUGGGCGUAAAGCGCGCGCAGGCGGUUCCUUAAGUCUGAUGUGAAAGCCCACGGCUCAACCGUGGAGGGUCAUUGGAAACUGGGAGACUUGAGUGUAGGAGAGGAAAGUGGAAUUCCACGUGUAGCGGUGAAAUGCGUAGAGAUGUGGAGGAACACCAGUGGCGAAGGCGACUUUCUGGCCUAUAACUGACGCUGAGGCGCGAAAGCGUGGGGAGCAAACAGGAUUAGAAACCCCCGUAGUCC
rnacentral:rRNA from 1 species